rnacentral:rRNA from 1 species
AGAGUUUGAUCCUGGCUCAGGAUGAACGCUAGCGGCAGGCUUAAUACAUGCAAGUCGAGGGGCAGCACGGUUAGCAAUAACUGGUGGCGACCGGCGCACGGGUGCGUAACACGUAUACAAUCUACCUUAAACAGGGGGAUAGCCUUUCGAAAGAGAGAUUAAUACCCCGUAAUAAAUUGAACGGCAUCGUUUGAUUUUGAAAGCUCCGGCGGUUUGAGAUGAGUAUGCGUCUGAUUAGCUAGUUGGUGAGGUAACGGCUCACCAAGGCGACGAUCAGUAGGGGGAUCUGAGAGGACUAACCCCCACACUGGUACUGAGACACGGACCAGACUCCUACGGGAGGCAGCAGUAAGGAAUAUUGGUCAAUGGAGGCAACUCUGAACCAGCCAUGCCGCGUGCAGGAUGACGGCCCUAUGGGUUGUAAACUGCUUUUAUACAAGAGAAAACCCUGGUACGUGUACCAGGUUGAUAGUAUUGUAAGAAUAAGCAUCGGCUAACUUCGUG